ensembl:ncRNA C56E6.11 ncRNA
GAGAGCGGGUGUCCUCGUACACGGGGUUUCCCCGCCUGAACAGAGAGUGAGAGAAGAUGCAGGAGAGAGGCCAUCAUUCAUUAUGCAGAGAGUGAGAAUGAGACCCAGUUGUCGUCGUC